rnacentral:piRNA from 1 species
UGUGUCAUGUUAGUGAAAAGCUGAAA